UACAGGAGGGGCAAGCGUUAUUCGGAAUUAUUGGGCGUAAAGGGCGCGUAGGCGGCUUUGGCAAGUGGCGGGAUGAAAUCCCUCGGCUUAACCGAGGAACUGCCUGUCAAACUGCAUGGCUUGAGACCAGGAGAGGUGAGUGGAAUUCCCAGUGUAGCGGUGAAAUGCGUAGAUAUUGGGAGGAACACCAGUGGCGAAGGCGGCUCACUGGACUGGUACGUGACGCUGAUGCGCGAAAGCGUGGGGAGCAACA
rnacentral:rRNA from 1 species